rnacentral:rRNA from 1 species
GAUGAACGCUGGCGGCGUGCCUAAUACAUGCAAGUCGAGCGAACGGACGAGAAGCUUGCUUCUCUGAUGUUAGCGGCGGACGGGUGAGUAACACGUGGAUAACCUACCUAUAAGACUGGGAUAACUUCGGGAAACCGGAGCUAAUACCGGAUGAUAUUUUGAACCGCAUGGUUCAAGAGUGAAAGACGGUCUUGGUGUCACUUAUAGAUGGAUCCGCGCUGCAUUAGCUAGUUGGUAAGGUAACGGCUUACCAAGGCAACGAUGCAUAGCCGACCUGAGAGGGUGAUCGGCCACACUGGAACUGAGACACGGUCCAGACUCCUACGGGAGGCAGCAGUAGGGAAUCUUCCGCAAUGGGCGAAAGCCUGACGGAGCAACGCCGCGUGAGUGAUGAAGGUCUUCGGAUCGUAAAACUCUGUUAUUAGGGAAGAACAUAUGUGUAAGUAACUGUGCACAUCUUGACGGUACCUAAUCAGAAAGCCACGGCUAACUACGUG